rnacentral:rRNA from 1 species
UACGUAGGGUGCAAGCGUUUAAUCGGAAUUACUGGGCGUAAAGCGUGCGCAGGCGGUUCUAUAAGACAGAUGUGAAAUCCCCGGGCUCAACCUGGGAACUGCAUUUGUGACUGUAGAGCUGGAGUACGGUAGAGGGGGAUGGAAUCCGCGUGUAGCAGUGAAAUGCGUAGAUAUGCGGAGGAACACCGAUGGCGAAGGCAAUCCCCUGGACCUGUACUGACGCUCAUGCACGAAAGCGUGGGGAGCAAACAGG